CCUACGGGGAGGCAGCAGUGGGGAAUAUUGGACAAUGGGCGAAAGCCUGAUCCAGCCAUGCCGCGUGUGUGAAGAAGGCCUUCGGGUUGUAAAGCACUUUCAGUGGGGAAGAAAGCCUUGGGGCUAAUACCCUCGAGGAAGGACAUCACCCACAGAAGAAGCACCGGCUAACUCCGUGCCAGCAGCCGCGGUAAUACGGAGGGUGCGAGCGUUAAUCGGAAUUACUGGGCGUAAAGCGCGCGUAGGCGGUCUGAUAAGCCGGUUGUGAAAGCCCCGGGCUCAACCUGGGAACGGCAUCCGGAACUGUCAGGCUAGAGUGCAGGAGAGGAAGGUAGAAUUCCCGGUGUAGCGGUGAAAUGCGUAGAGAUCGGGAGGAAUACCAGUGGCGAAGGCGGCCUUCUGGACUGACACUGACGCUGAGGUGCGAAAGCGUGGGUAGCAAACAGGAUUAGAUACCCGAGUAGUC
rnacentral:rRNA from 1 species